rnacentral:rRNA from 1 species
GAACACGGUUGUCGGGAUUCCUGGGCGUAAGGGUGCGUAGGUGGCUUGUUAAGUUGGGUGUGAAAUCUCCGAGCUCAACUCGGAAACGGCACUCAAAACUGAUGAGCUGGAGGGUCGGAAGGGAGACUGGAAUUCUCGGUGUAGCGGUGAAAUGCGUAGAGAUCGAGAGGAACACCAGUGGCGAAAGCGAGUCUCUGGACGACUCCUGACACUGAGGCACGAAAGCUAGGGGAGCAAACAGGAUUAGAUACCCUGGUAGUCCUAGCCGUAAACGAUGGGCACUAGGUGUGGGGGGUGUCGACUCCCUCCGUGCCGACGCUAACGCAUUAAGUGCCCCGCCUGGGGAGUACGGCCGCAAGGCUAAAACUCAAAGGAAUUGACGGGGGCCCGCACAAGCAGCGGAGCAUGUGGUUUAAUUCGACGCAACGCGAAGAACCUUACCUGGGCUUGACAUGUUCCUGACAGCCGUGGAAACACGGUUUCCCUUCGGGGCAGGAUCACAGGUGGUGCAUGGCUGUCGUCAGCUCGUGUCGUGAGAUGUUGGGUUAAGUCCCGCAACGAGCGCAACCCUCGCUCCCAGUUGCCAGCGAGUCAUGUCGGGGACUCUGGGGGGACUGCCGGCGUUAAGCCGGAGGAAGGUGGGGACGACGUCAAGUCAUCACGGCCCUUACGUCCAGGGCGACACACGUGCUACAAUGCCCGGUACAGCGCGUCGCGAACCCGCGAGGGGGAGCCAAUCGCUAAAAGCCGGGCUAAGUUCGGAUUGUAGUCUGCAACUCGACCACAUGAAGCCGGAAUCGCUAGUAAUCGCGGAUCAGCCACGCCGCGGUGAAUACGUUCCCGGGCCUUGUACACACCGCCCGUCACACCACGAAAGCUUGUUGUACCAGAAGUCGCUGGUCCAACCCGCAAGGGAGGAAGGUGCCGAAGUAUGAUAGGUGAUUGGGGUGAAGUCGUAACAAGGUAACC